UACGUAGGGUGCAAGCGUUAAUCGGAAUUACUGGGCGUAAAGCGUGCGCAGGCGGUUAUGUAAGACAGAUGUGAAAUCCCCCGGGCUCAACCUGGGAACUGCAUUUGUGACUGCACAGCUGGAGUGCGGCAGAGGGGGAUGGAAUUCCGCGUGUAGCAGUGAAAUGCGUAGAUAUGCGGAGGAACACCGAUGGCGAAGGCAAUUCCCUGGGCCUGCACUGACGCUCAUGCACGAAAGCGUGGGGAGCAAACAGG
rnacentral:rRNA from 1 species